UCUCUGGUGGUUCAGAGGGUAAAGCAUCUGCCUGCAAUGCAGGAGACCCAGGUUCUAUUCCUAGGUCGGGAA
rnacentral:tRNA from 1 species